rnacentral:tRNA from 1 species
GGAUUGUGGCUCAGUGGUACAGCACUCGCCUAGCAUGUGCAAGGCACUGGGUUCGAUCCUCAGCACCA